GAUGAACGCUGGCGGCGUGCCUAAUACAUGCAAGUCGAGCGAACAGAUGAGGAGCUUGCUCCUCUGACGUUAGCGGCGGACGGGUGAGUAACACGUGGAUAACCUACCUAUAAGACUGGGAUAACUUCGGGAAACCGGAGCUAAUACCGGAUAAUAUAUUGAACCGCAUGGUUCAAUAGUGAAAGACGGUUUUGCUGUCACUUAUAGAUGGAUCCGCGCCGCAUUAGCUAGUUGGUAAGGUAACGGCUUACCAAGGCAACGAUGCGUAGCCGACCUGAGAGGGUGAUCGGCCACACUGGAACUGAGACACGGUCCAGACUCCUACGGGAGGCAGUAGUAGGGAAUCUUCCGCAAUGGGCGAAAGCCUGACGGAGCAACGCCGCGUGAGUGAUGAAGGUCUUCAGAUCGUAAAACUCUGUUAUUAGGGAAGAACAAAUGUGUAAGUAACUAUGCACGUCUUGACGGUACCUAAUCAGAAAGCCACGGCUAACUACGUG
rnacentral:rRNA from 1 species